GACGAACGCUGGCGGCGUGCCUAAUACAUGCAAGUCGAGCGGAUGAAAGAGGAGCUUGCUCCUCUAGAUUCAGCGGCGGACGGGUGAGUAACACGUGGGCAACCUGCACUGUAGAUUGGGAUAACUCCGGGAAACCGGGGCUAAUACCGAAUAAUCCUUCGGACCUCAUGGUCCGAUGUUGAAAGACGGUUUCGGCUGUCACUACAGGAUGGGCCCGCGGCGCAUUAGCUAGUUGGUGAGGUAACGGCUCACCAAGGCCACGAUGCGUAGCCGACCUGAGAGGGUGAUCGGCCACACUGGGACUGAGACACGGCCCAGACUCCUACGGGAGGCGGCAGUAGGGAAUCUUCCACAAUGGACGAAAGUCUGAUGGAGCAACGCCGCGUGAGUGAAGAAGGUUCUCGGAUCGUAAAACUCUGUUGUGAGGGAAGAACAAGUACCGGAGUAACUGCCGGUGCCUUGACGGUACCUCAUUAGAAAGCCACGGCUAACUACGUGCCAGCCGCCGCCGUAA
rnacentral:rRNA from 1 species